GACGAACGCUGGCGGCGUGCUUAACACAUGCAAGUCGAACGGAAAGGCCCUGCUUUUGUGGGGUGCUCGAGUGGCGAACGGGUGAGUAACACGUGAGUAACCUGCCCUUGACUUUGGGAUAGCUUCAGGAAACUGGGGCUAAUACCGGAUAGGAGCUCCUGCUGCAUGGUGGGGGUUGGAAAGUUUCGGCGGUUGGGGAUGGACUCGCGGCUUAUCAGCUUGUUUGUGGGGUAGUGGCUUACCAAGGCUUUGACGGGUAGCCGGCCUGAGAGGGUGACCGGCCACAUUGGGACUGAGGUACGGCCCAGACUCCUACGGGAGGCAGCAGUGGGGAAUAUUGCACAAUGGGCGGAAGCCUGAUGCAGCAACGCCGCGUGCGGGAUGACGGCCUUCGGGUUGUAAACCGCUUUCGCCUGUGACGAAGCGUGAGUGACGGUAAUGGGUAAAGAAGCACCGGCUAACUACGUG
rnacentral:rRNA from 1 species